rnacentral:rRNA from 1 species
GAUGAACGCUGGCGGCGUGCCUAAUACAUGCAAGUCGAGCGAACAGACGAGGAGCUUGCUCCUCUGACGUUAGCGGCGGACGGGUGAGUAACACGUGGAUAACCUACCUAUAAGACUGGGAUAACUUCGGGAAACCGGAGCUAAUACCGGAUAACAUGUUGAACCGCAUGGUUCAACAGUGAAAGACGGUCUUGCUGUCACUUAUAGAUGGAUCCGCGCCGCAUUAGCUAGUUGGUAAGGUAACGGCUUACCAAGGCAACGAUGCGCAGCCGACCUGAGAGGGUGAUCGGCCACACUGGAACUGAGACACGGUCCAGACUCCUACGGGAGGCAGCAGUAGGGAAUCUUCCGCAAUGGGCGAAAGCCUGACGGAGCAACGCCGCGUGAGUGAAGAAGGUCUUCGGAUCGUAAAACUCUGUUAUUAGGGAAGAACAAAUGUGUAAGUAACUAUGCACGUCUUGACGGUACCUAAUCAGAAAGCCACGGCUAACUACGUG